GCUUGUUUUGGGCUACCUUAAAAAAAGUUAUUUCUUUAAUGGUCAAAUUGCCGUGAGGUCUGGAAGAUUUAAUGUAUCAUAAAACUCAUUAAAUAACCAGCCUGGCAGCCCACACUACUGAGUAGUGUGUUAGCAUAUGGGAGAUCCUAGCUGAAGACUUCAGCAUUCAUUUCAGUGCCACCCAGCCAAAGCUUCCAGGGACAGGUCUGGAGCGUGUGUUCUAAGUCAGCAUUCCUCCAACUUUCAUGGGGGCACGAAUCAUCGGAGUGCUGUACGGACGUGCAGAUUCUGAUUCAGCAGUUCUGGGACGAGGUCCGAGAGUCUGUAUUGCUGACAAGUUGAUGUCCUUUCUUCUGGUCCAAAGCCCACACUUUGAACACUCGGGAACAUUCGCUAGAGGAUCUUGUGAAUAUCCAGUGACAGCAGCUAACACUUAUGAACCGCACUGACUGUGCUGAUCGCGAAGGCUGGAGUGUCGUGGGACAAUCAGGGCUUACUGCAGUCUCAACUUCCCCGGGCUCAGCUGAUCCUCCCACUUCAGCCUCCCAAGUGGCUUGGACUACAGACACUUAUCACCAUGACUGGUUACUCUUUCUAUUUUUUUGUGGAGAAGGGCUUUUACCAUGUUGCCCAGAGUGGUCUCAAACUCCUUGGCUCAAGGGAUUGCCUGCCUCAGUCUCCCAUAGUUCUGAGAUUACAGGCAUGAGCCAACGUGCUUGGCCUCUACUUAUUUGUAUAUUUUUUAGUAAGGAAAAUAUUUACAUAUAUUUGAUUGCUGGACUAGGCAUUGUGUGACACAUAAAUUAUCCAUUACAGUAUUAGCCUGAGAUACUGUUCUCCCCAUUUUACAGAUGGGGUGGGGAAGCUCAAAGUGGUUAAGAGACCUGCCCAUAGUCACGGGGAGGCUGAGGCUUUACCAGCAUGAAAAUCUAUGCAUGUAGGUCAACAGCAUUUCCUUCCACAGAGACCUGUGCGCCACGCCCAUCCCUUCCCACUAAUGAUGCAGCUUGCUAGCUUGCUUUAGCCUCAGCUCUUUUCUAGAGCUGGAAAGCUUUGUAUUUUAGCCUAUAGCAUGCUAUUAAACAAUGCUUUCCAUCAGCAGCCUUUUUUUUCUCAUAAGGAGUGAGACAAUAAAGAGCCCAAAGUAUUGAUUCA
rnacentral:lncRNA from 13 species